GCGCCCGUGGUGGAAUCGCAGACACAGGAGACUUAAGAUCUUCUGCCAGAGAUGGCGUGCGGGUUCAAGUCCCGCCGGGCGCA
rfam:Faecalibacterium prausnitzii SL3/3 draft genome.